AGCUUGCUUUUGAACGACCGGCGCACGGGUGCGUAACGCGUAUGCAAUCUACCCUGUACUAAGGGAUAGCCCGGGGAAACUCGGAUUAAUACCUUAUAGUAUCACAGAUAGGCAUCUUGAAGUGAUUAAAGAUUUAUCGGUACAGGAUGAGCAUGCGUAAGAUUAGAUAGUUGGUGAGGUAACGGCUCACCAAGUCGACGAUCUUUAGGGGUUCUGAGAGGAUGAUCCCCCACACUGGUACUGAGAUACGGACCAGACUCCUACGGGAGGCAGCAGUAGGGAAUAUUGGUCAAUGGGCGAGAGCCUGAACCAGCCAUGCCGCGUGCAGGAUGACGGCCUUCUGGGUUGUAAACUGCUUUUAUAUGGGAAGAAAAAGGCCUUGCGAGGCAAAUUGCCGGUACCAUAUGAAUAAGCACCGGCUAACUCCGUGCCAGCAGCCGCGGUAAUACGGAGGGUGCAAGCGUUGUCCGGAUUUAUUGGGUUUAAAGGGUACGUAGGCGGAUCUUUAAGUCCGUGGUGAAAGCCUGUAGCUUAACUGUAGAACUGCCAUGGAUACUGGAGAUCUUGAAUUCAGUUGAGGUAAGCGGAAUUUAUGAUGUAGCGGUGAAAUGCAUAGAUAUCAUAAAGAACACCUAUUGCGAAGGCAGCUUGCUGGACUUGGAUUGACGCUGAGGUACGAAAGCGUGGGGAGCGAACAGGAUUAGAUACCCUGGUAGUCCACGCCGUAAACGAUGAUCACUCGCUGCUGGCGAUACACUGUCAGUGGCCAAGCGAAAGCGUUAAGUGAUCCACCUGGGGAGUACGCUCGCAAGAGUGAAACUCAAAGGAAUUGA
rnacentral:rRNA from 1 species